UGGCCCAGAGCCCUGUCCCGGUCAAGCGCAGCUGGAGGGAGCCUCCUGUCCCUGUAGAGCAGAGGAGAAAGCACCGGGCAGUUGGGUUUCUGGCAGUUGCCUUCUGCCAAGGAGCAGCAGUGGGACAGUUUUCCCAGACAGUUGAACGAAUAGGGCAGAGCUAAUUAGACAAGGAAUUGUUAGUUGAAUAGCCCCAGAACAUGUGGGGAUUUUUUUCUUUCUCACCCUGUUUGGGAGGAUGGGAGCUUUUGUCUUUCCUGAUAGAAGUACAGUUGCUGCCAAAGGAAACACACCCAAAGACCAAUAGUGACGCGGCCUUCUCUUUGCUUCCUUUCUUCUUCCCUCACUGCUACACAGUGCUCUCAUACCAGGACCUCACUGCUGCCUCACCUGAGGGUUUACAGCUGCCUCCAGGCCCUUCCAGGCUAAGCGCAGGUGCUCAGGAGUCUGACCUUUUCCUGACAUCUCCCAAGAAAGUCUUUGCCUCAUCUGGAUUUCUUGGGGUUUCAUCAGAGGAACCAGGCACCAGCAAAUUUCAUCUCAAGCGUGAGCUCAUCAUUCCGCUGGUUCCCAUAGACUGCAGAUGCCGCCCUGGGCUCACGGUUUCUCUGCGUCCCAUAGACCAUCACAACCCUUCCAUGGCCUCUCCAGAGGGAAGCAGCUGCACAUCUUCAGAGCAGUAUUUGCCAGCCUGCAGUUCAUCAGCCACCCCAGGCACUUCAGGCCCCAGCGCUCCAGCUGGCAGUGCUGGUUUUGCACCAUGGACAGCCCCCAGCUGGCUGUGGAAUACUCCUGGGGAAGAGGAAUUGCCACCACCGGAUCUGGACAUGGUGCUUGAGACGCUGGAGGAGAUGUUUUCUCCCUCUGCUCAGGUAACUGCAUUGGACAGGGAAGAAAAGGGCUGGGAGCUGAGAGCUUGUGAAUGUUGUUGCAUGGCUGAGAAGCAAAGGCUUCUUGAGUUCAGCUCAGUGAAUGGACAGGAAAAGAUUUGCUUGGUGAAACAAGACUUCCUAAAGAAGAGGGAAUGAAAAAGUCUCCCCCUGAAUAAGGAUGAAGAGGUGUGAGCCUGUGUUGGUCAGGUUUGGGUGCCUGUUUUCCUGGGAAGAAUCCCUCGUGCAGGGGUGUUUGUGGUGAGGAAGUGGAAGCUUUGUAGGUUCUAAGAGGCUUUGUUUGGUGGGAAAGAAGAGAAGAGUGUUUGGAGAAUUGCCAAGUGUCCCGUGCAGGGAGGGACAUGCCAGAGGUGCCUGUUCCAGCAGCAGAUGUGGGCUGUGCCUCUUUUGGGUGGGAAGGCCAAGGCAAAGCAGGGCUGGGCUGCAGCUGCUGCUGCUGUGUGAGCCCUGCCGGGCGUGUGGGCGCUCCCAGAGCCGUGUGUGGGGCUGGGCUGGAGCUGCAGCUUUCUUGUCCUCUGGGUAACCUGGUGCCUGCAGCCCAGUCUCCAUCUGGGAAAUCCUCAGCUGGGCAAACUGGCCAGUCUUGCUGUCCAUGUUGCAGAGCUCAGUCACCUUGCUCUUGGGCAGCUCUGUGGGAAGAGAUGUGUGUUCCCACGCAGUCCCUGCCAAGCUGCAGCCUGGAUGAGACUGCUUUGCUCAGGGUUGUGGAGGAGGAGCAAAUCUCUGUGCCAGGACUCCUUCCUUAGCAGCCAUUCCAUGUGUUCAGUGUCACCCCCACGUUCAACACUGUCAGCUUUGACAGCUUUUGGACUGUGUUUGAGAAGUGAAAUUGUUUUGACUCUUGAAUGGCUUUGGGGCCCAGAGUUCUUGUUAGGAACAAGGGAUUAAGAGUGUGAGGCAUGGAGUUGUUGGACCAGGUGUUUGGUGUAACUGGUGAGAAGGGUUUCUUCCUUUCUGUUUCUCUUUCAAGGGGAAUAUUAAUGUUGCCCCAGAGUCUUCAGGAGGGCAGCCUGUGGACAGAGCUGAAGCAGAAGGAGCUUUGCCUGGCACCAGGAGGUGCGGGAACAAUUCCCAGGAGCCCGAAGAGCUUGAUUUCCACCUAAUCUACCUUGCCAGGAGGGCUGCCCUGCGUGAGAAAAAGGAUCGGAGGGAGAGCCUGUGACCAUCGGGCAGGUGGAAUCCCUCCAUUUAUACAUAGAUUUAUAGAUUUCCAUAGUUCUAUUUAUAUAUCCUUGUAGUUACAUUUAUUGAUUUAUACAAUCCUAUUUAUAUAUCCACAUAGUUAUAUUUGUAGGUUUAUAGAGAACAUAUAUAUAUAUAUAUAUACAUCUAUACAGUUAAAUCUAUAUAUAGUUUUUGAUGUGAUAGAAUUAUAUUUAUGUGCAUGUAGUUACAUUUAUAGAUUUUAAAAUUUACAUUUAUAUACAUAGAGAGUAAUAAUAUAUUUUUAAUAUUUUUAUAUUUAUAAAUCUGCAUCGAUAUGUAGUUAGAGUUAUAUGGAUUUUUAGAUGGAUAGAUUGAUGUUAGUGUAGGUCUAGGCAGUAUUUUUACCUCUUUCCCCCUCGGCUGCCUUUUUCACCUCUGGCUUUUCCCCCUGUGCCCCCUGUGUCCCCUCUCCCUGGGCUGGGUCCGAGCUGGCGGCCGGGCCGGGCGCAGCAGCAGUUCCAGCCCCGGAUGUCCCUGGAGCGCUGGGAGCUGCCGGUGGCCCCAGGCACUGUCCCCUGAGGAGCUGCUGAAGG